rnacentral:rRNA from 1 species
GACGAACGCUGGCGGCGUGCCUAGUACAUGCAAGUAGAACGCUGAAGGAGGAGCUUGCUUCUCUGGAUGAGUUGCGAACGGGUGAGUAACGCGUAGGUAACCUGCCUGGGAGCGGGGGAUAACUAUUGGAAACGAUAGCUAAUACCGCAUAAUAGCAGUUGUUGCAUGACAACUGUUUGAAAGGUGCAAUUGCACCACUACCAGAUGGACCUGCGUUGUAUUAGCUAGUUGGUGGGGUAACGGCUCACCAAGGCGACGAUACAUAGCCGACCUGAGAGGGUGAUCGGCCACACUGGGACUGAGACACGGCCCAGACUCCUACGGGAGGCAGCAGUAGGGAAUCUUCGGCAAUGGACGGAAGUCUGACCGAGCAACGCCGCGUGAGUGAAGAAGGUUUUCGGAUCGUAAAGCUCUGUUGUAAGAGAAGAACGAGUGUGAGAGUGGAAAGUUCACACUGUGACGGUAUCUUACCAGAAAGGGACGGCUAACUACGUG